GCUGCUCACACCGGAUGGCACUGUCCUCUGCAGACAGGACAAGAGACCAGACUAUGAAGCUUGACCUGGACCCCAGCCAAGGCCCAGAAGGCCACUCUGGCUACCAAGACAGAAAUAUACCCACGAAUGCAACACAAAUGAGCAACAUGUCAGAAUAGGAAGGCUGGAACUGUGUGUCAGAAGACUGGAAAGCUGGGGACCCUAACUCUGGCAGAGCCAUGCAAGGGGCCUUGAGCACCCCAGGGUGGGGCCUAUGAGUGCCUGCCUUGUCCUUAACCGGCUCAGAUGGAGUCAAUGUGCCCUUACCUCCAGUAGGCACCGGCUCAGUAUUUUCCUGCACAGGUCGGGCUCAGUUAAGACUGGAACGGAGAAAUGAGAAAAACCUGCCCUGAGCCAUAGUCAGGGUCCUCCACUAAAGCAGCCCUUCAGUCAAAUCUCACUUUUAAGGGGAGAACCACAGGCAAAACAGCUGCUGCCCCUGGGGACAGAAAGCCCCGUCAGCGUCAGAUGGCCAAAUGAUGCUUCAGAAAACUGGAUUCACUAGCAGUGGCUUUUAGAUAGAGAACAAAAAGUUGACACUGAGUAUCUCAGGCUCCAUCGAAGAUCAUGUGUAAUGACCAAAUUACCAUGGUCUAAAACCUCCUCUACUGCAUCCAAAUUAGCAGAAAUAAUCAUGAUUCACUUUAAUUAGUGACUAUGGAAAUGAAGCCAAGGGCUGGUGGGCAGAGAGCCUGGCAUGGCAGCUGCUGG